CAAUCUGCAAAGGGCACUUAUAAGUUCAUGUUAGCGACUUACUGCUAAUCAUAACAGUAAGUCGCUAACCACAAUUAAAUAGACUAAGGCGACUCUCUAAUGUGGUAAUGACACAUUACAUAACAAUUAGGACGGCUUAGCUCCAUCAGUUCAAAAUUUCCAGUUCUUGUCUCAAUUACUUUUAACCCCUUCUAGCCAUAAAGGAAGGAAUAAUGACCACAGAAAAAAACGGAGGGGGGCUUUUGCAAAAAAGUCUAGUGAUCUGAGGGAGGAACGAAUGGCUUCAAUAAGGAACUCUAUACUUGUACCUGUCUCUUUCAAUUCA